CUCAUUUUUCCCGGGCUUUCGGUCAGCGUUUUCCUUUUCUCGCGGGUUUGGGCGCGCAUCGAACUCUGAAGGGUCGGGAAGGCCUGUCGUUGGAAUGUGGUUGAGUUCCAGGGAGUGUACAGGCUGGAGGAUGGGACAAGACCUAUCUCUGUAUCGAUCAAGCACGGCGUUGGUGUUCCAGCUCAUCACCAAUCCUAAGGAAUUCAAGUGCCUCCCAGGAUGAAUACAGGUUGUCUUGAUGGUGAUACAUUCAUCUGUCUUAAGAUCCCUGCUGAUCUGCUCAUGGUCAAACUCAUGGAAAGAGUUGAGAGUGGGGCACCUUGUUCCUGCAUCCUCAAAGGAGCAUCUUGUUCCUCCAUUUAAGCUUCCAGAGUUAAAAGGUACCUGUACCAUUUAGCGGCUUGUUCACUCAAAGAUCCAUCUUGUCUGGAGCCUGAGGAUGAUUGGAGGUGAAAGGUGUAAGCCAUACUCUGCUCAACUCCAGUCUGAAACUGAGGUUAGUAAAUAAAGAACACGUACUUAACACACGGGAAUCCAACUCUUGGAGGACAUCAGAAGUGGAAUUUUCUUAUACAACCUACCUAUUCAAAUUAGCAUAUAAUCUUUCUAGCCUUUCUAAAUAAAUAAAGGGAUUUUUUUGU
rnacentral:lncRNA from 1 species